rnacentral:rRNA from 1 species
GAUGAACGCUGGCGGCGUGCCUAAUACAUGCAAGUCGAGCGAACGGACGAGAAGCUUGCUUCUCUGAUGUUAGCGGCGGACGGGUGAGUAACACGUGGAUAACCUACCUAUAAGACUGGGAUAACUUCGCGAAACCGGAGCUAAUACCGGAUAAUAUUUUGAACCGCAUGGUUCAAAAGUUAAAGACGGUCUUGCUGUCACUUAUAGAUGGAUCCGCGCUGCAUUAGCUAGUUGGUAAGGUAACGGCUUACCAAGGCAACGAUGCAUAGCCGACCUGAGAGGCUGACCGGCCACACUGGAACUGAGACACUGUCCAGACUCCUACGGGACACAGCAGUAGGGAAUCUUACGCGAUGGGCGAAAGCCUGACGGAGCAACGCCACCUGAGUAAUAAAGGUCUUCGGAUCGUAAAACUCUGUUAUUAGGGAAGAACAUAUGUGUAAGUAAAUGUGCACAUCUUGACGGUACCUAAUCAGAAAGCCACGGCUGACUACGUG